rnacentral:rRNA from 1 species
UACGGAGACUGCAAGCGUUAUUCAGAUUCACUGGGCGUAAAGAAUGCGCAGGCGGUCGGGUGUGUCAGGUGUGAAAUCUCGGAGCUCAACUCCGAAACUGCGCCUGAAACUACACGACUAGAGUAUCGGAGAGGUGAGCGGAAUUCAUGGUGUAGCAGUGAAAUGCGUAGAUAUCAUGAGGAACACCAGAGGCGAAGGCGGCUCACUGGACGAUUACUGACGCUCAGGCACGAAAGCAUGGGGAGCAAACAGG